CGGCUUCCCUUUGGCCUGGAGGAGAAGGCGGCUGCACCGCGGACCUAGGUUUCCAGCGUUGGAUUGUCUUCUAGGGCAAAUUGUCACCAAUGGCAGUAAAACUUGUUUUCCAGUAUUCUGGGUUAAAUGGACUAACUGGCUCUCAUUCUGAGGGAACCUAAUGGAUAUCUCUUGCUUUAAUUAAAUCUCUACUGUAUGUCAAAAAGAUUUCUCAAGUCUGGAAGCUGCUCUGAAAGCAAUUGAAGCAGCAUAAAAAUGUGAAUCUAACAAGACUCCAAACAACUUGAGAGAGAAUUUUCUACUGAUCAGUUUGUAAUUUAAAUCCUUAACUGAAGCCUGCAUAGUAGUUAAACUGGUUGAAGAGAGAGCUUGCUCCUUUUGCUCUUCAAAAAAG
rnacentral:lncRNA from 1 species